rnacentral:tRNA from 1 species
AAGAAAGACACAGAGGUUGUGAUGUUGGCUUGAAAUCAAUUUUUGGGGGUUCGAUUCCUUCCUUUCUUA